rnacentral:tRNA from 1 species
GCCGAAGUGGCGAAAUGGCAGACGCGCUACGUUCAGGUCGUAGUCCUCGCAAGGGGGUGGAGGUUCAAGUCCUCUCUUCGGCACCA